UACGGAGGGUGCAAGCGUUAUCCGGAUUUACUGGGUUUAAAGGGUGCGUAGGUGGGUCUGUAAGUCAGUGGUGAAAUCUCCGAGCUUAACUCGGAAACUGCCAUUGAUACUAUAGGUCUUGAAUUAUCUGGAGGUGAGCGGAAUAUGUCAUGUAGCGGUGAAAUGCUUAGAUAUGACAUAGAACACCAAUUGCGAAGGCAGCUCACUACGGAUAUAUCGACACUGAGGCACGAAAGCGUGGGGAUCAAACAGG
rnacentral:rRNA from 1 species